UACCCGUUGGAUUUAAGCAUAUCAAUAAGCGGAGGAGAAGAAAGUAACAACGAUUCCCUUAGUAACGGCGAGUGAAGAGGGAAGAGCUCAAGCUGCCAAUCUGAACUUUGAUCAGUUCCGAAUUGUAGUCUGAAGGUGUUCACUCAAGGUCCGGCCUGGUCCAAGUCCCCUGGAAAGGGGCGCCAGAGAGGGUGAGAGCCCCGUAUUUGGCUAUGGUCUGGUAUCGUUUGUGUGCUCCAGAGAGUCGGGUUGCUCGGGAUUGCAGCCUGAAUGGGAGGUAAAUUCCUCCUAAAGCUAAAUACUGGCGAGAGACCGAUAGCGAACAAGUACCGUGAGGGAAAGAUGCAAAGAACUUUGAAAAGAGAGUUAAAAAGUACCUGAACUUGUUGGGGGGAAAGCGUUUGCUUCCAGUGUGUCCUUGUCCAUUCAGCCUUUUACGGGUGCACUUGGGCUUGGGCGGUCAGGGUGGGUUUUGCGCGUCGUUGAAGGCCCCUGCGAGGCUUUCGGGCAACCGGGUGGUUUUACGUCGCUCUUGACCGAGGCUCACUUUGCGAUGGGGUCGGCUGAUCUUUGAAUCGUCUCACAAGCAACUUGUGCUCGGUUCGAGUGGCUCCUUACCUGUCUUUGAGUGUGACCCUGCCGAAAUG
rnacentral:rRNA from 1 species